GGAAAAACUCUCCCAAGUUUUAGAGCCGAGACGCUGCUUGCGCACUUACCCUAAUCCCCAAUGAUGAGCAGACCAACGUCGACGAUUGAAAUUCCUGAUCGCCGGUAUCGUCCAGAACGCCAAAGCGAGCGUUAUACACCUGAAUCCGACACCUCCGCUGACUACUACCGCCAGCGGGACCGCCGAAGUCCCUCCUACCAUAGCUACGGUGAGCUUGAGCGGUAGCGGCCGCGACCGGUUCCUCGGUGAAGCUCAUCGUAGCUAUGGUAGGAGGGACUUCGGCGGUCCCGCUGGCGGUAGUAGUCAGCGGAGGUGUCGGAUUCAGGUGCAUAACGCUCGCUUUGGCGUUCUGGACGAUACCGGCGAUCAGGAAUUUCAAUCGUCGACGUUGGUCUGCUCAUCAUUGGGGAUUAGGGUAAGUGCGCA
rnacentral:misc_RNA from 1 species